rnacentral:rRNA from 1 species
UACGGGGGGUGCGAGCGUUGUCCGGAAUCACUGGGCGUAAAGGGCGCGUAGGUGGUCUUAUAAGGGUGUGGUGAAAGCCCGGGGCUCAACCCCGGGUCGGCCCGUGCCGACUGUAAGACUAGAGUGCUGUAGGGGCAGGCGGAAUUCCGGGUGGUAGCGGUGGAAUGCGUAGAGAUCCGGAGGAAGACCGGUGGCGAAGGCGGCCUGCCUGGGCGAGUACCUGACACGAGGCGCGACAGCCGUGGGGAGCAA